UUUUUUUUUUUCCAAACCCUGUCCUAGGUAAGAUGGCAAAUUAUUACAAAAAGCACUUGGGAUAUUUGGACAGUUGAGAAAAGCAACCUUUAGAAGAAACUGCUUCUGUGCUCAGAGGUCUAUGUAUAGAGGUGUGUGUGUGUGCACUACACACGUAGUUUUAUGAAUGAAAGGAUCAUCUCUUGGGUCUAUUUUUUAAAUUCUUGGAAACACAUAAAAAGCCAAAUGGUUUGACUCACUGACUGACUUUGAAGCUGCAUCUGCCGCUUACACCGCAGUGGCUUUAACCCCCUCUGGGGUCUGGUUGCCUUUUGCAGUUUGUGGACUUAGUUGCUGGAAGGAGGUCUAGGUACGAGGGAAGUCGUGUGGCCUUUGACUCUUUCCGGUCCUUUCUGUCUUUCAUUUCCCUAAACUCUCCGCUUUUGGGGAAAACUCCUGCCUCGCUAUUGGCUGGAGACACCAUGUCAAAACCCCGAGGAUGCUGGGACAGGAUGUUCCAGUUGGUUCUGUAUGUCCGUUUUCCUUUGUGCCAAAGACAGACAGACAGACAGAGGCUGAGAGGCUGUUUCUAAGACAAAGCAGUGGCCGGCCAUCUUUCUACAUCUCCUAGGCCUGUCUGUGAGGGGGAGGGUCCUGGAGACUACACUAAAGACAAGCACCACUCUUGUUAAGUUCCUGGGGGAUUGGGGUGUGGUGCUUGCCCAGGGCUAGGGAGCAGGGAAAAGGGGGUCCUGUUGCACUUUGGGGAAGGAGGGACUCUUGGGCUCCCUGUGGGACUGCUCUCCUCCCCUGUCCCCACUGCAGAGAUGGCACCGUGGAGUUCCCUUCAGGCCUGGCAGACUGGCAGUGAGGAGGGGCCUCAGUUAGCUCUCAAGGGUGCCUUCCCCUCCUCCCUUCCCAGACACCCUCUGCCAAACUGGGAACCAGCAGUGCUAUUAACUACCUCAGCCCCAGAGGGCGCCAAGCCUAACUGAGCCCCAGGAGGAGCUGUCGAUUUAGGCAACUCUUCUCCCCCUCUCUCGGGACGAGGUCGCCUUUCCUUGUCCUAAGUGCUCCUGGGGGAGAUCCUAGUGGCUUUGCCAUUCAGACCACACAACUGUUUUUGCCUGUUUGUUGAAAACCAAUAGAAGGAGACCAGCUUGGCAGGACAUUGCAGGAAGAGACCCCCUCAUCAAUGCCAGGGGAUGUAAAAGCCAUUUUCCUUCCAGAUACUCAAUGGUUUAGGUGCAGAAUGUUGUUCUUGUAUUCAGACAUACAUAGAGUAAUACCAGCUGAAACAUGGUGUUUCUUUCCUUUGGAUACAUCUCAGUGAGGGUUCAAGAUCCGGGACAGGCCACAUGCUUCAUGGUCUAGAGGCUAGGCCAAAGCCUCAACCCUGCACGGCCUGAUGUGGUAUCAUUACGGAUGCCCUCAAAUGGGUGACUAUGGACUGACAAAAGAAGAGAAUUUGUUUUUCUUAAAUAGCAGGAUGCUCCUGGAGCGUGUGUUUUUCAUAAUCACAGAUGAUGAAUACUACGAGUAUAAAUGGAUGAACUACCUCAGUCCUCACAGUAAGAUUGGAGAUGAGGGCAGGGACUCAUGCCUCGGGGAUGAAUCCCAGCCAGGAGAGAGUUUUGGCUUAUGCCACACUAGGUUUGUCAUGGGGAUCGGGCAGGCUUGCCCGGGUCCCCACUCACAUUGGUCGGGUUGGCAGGGUUCCGUCAUCUCGUGUCCCCUCCCCCCCACCCCAUCCCCUUUUCUGCUCUCCUCCCCCACUCUCUCAUCCCUUCACUCCAGCUCCUCCCCCUCUCUCUCAGAGCUUAAGCUUAAGCUUGAUGUGAGGAAAGGAAUGGGCUCCUUCCCUAGAGAGCUGGAUGGAGGGUGGUUCUGGGUCCGGCCUGGAAUCCCCUAGUCAGCUCCUAACUUGGGAACCGGGGCCUCUUCAACAGGGUUUCUUCAAGAUCCUCUGCCUCCACUGAGUCCCCUCGGGAGGUGUGUGUGUGUAUGGGGGGAGGGGGCGCGCUCUGAGAUAGAGCAGGAUCCUUCUGCCCUGGGGCCUGGUCCAGUCUACCAGGCUCGCUCAGGCCACCUUUGUAGUUGACCACCGCCAGGUGCCCUAGCCCUCCCCACCCCUAAAUGACCUCCUUAUAGAAGCCUGUUUCACUUUUGGUUUUAAUCUACCUCUUAGCAAAACAAUAUAGAGAAAUUUAGGUAGUGGCAACUCCACUUGCUUAGGUUAGGCGGGGGAAAGAUUUCUUUUUCCAAAGGAAAAACUAUUACCUUAAAAAUACUUUCCAAAAAAUCUUAAAAAAAAAAAAAAUAAAAACCAAAAAAAAUUUUUUUUUCUUUUAAGGGAGGGAGACAAUUUCCAGUAACCAUGGGAUUAAUUUCCUACACUCUUUUCCCCCAUACAUAUGGUUUCCUCUUUGGCAGUUGUCACAUGUCACGUAAUGAUACGGCUUUCCCAGUGAUCUCCUUGUCUGGUCACAUCCCCACCCCAAGGAGUGCCAGUGAGACUCACCUGUGCUUCCUGUCACAGCUCUGGCCAGGUGACCUGGACAUCUCAAACAGGAGCACUGGGCAGGGGUGCUUCUGGACUCGUUAGGGAACCUCAUGUGACCACAGUUUUAUGUGAACCACUGCUUAUAAGCUCAUUGGAAAUGAAUUUAAGCAGAUUAUAAAUUUGCAUGAUGAAUAAAUACCUUUUACCACCAUUUGGAGUCUCCCUUCUCUUCAGAAAUCGUGAUUCUGUUCUCCGAAACCAGAGUUGAAUGAGAAGAGCCCACUCUGGCAGAAUGGGUUGAUAGGCAGUCCGAGGACACGGCUUCCGGGGAGGGCUUUAUUUUUCUGAGUGGAUGUCUGGGAGGCAUUGGGGGGCUGCUGCUUGUGACUGUUAGACUCUGUAAUUGCGAUAACUUUGGGAUUGUAUUUUACCAGAACUCUGCCGGCCAUCCUGACCCUGAAUUUGAUUGUGCCUUCCUCCCUCCCUUCUCUGUUCUUGAAGCUGGGGGAGGGGCAGCGGGCUCGGACUUGGCUAGUUUGUUUAUUGAAUGGAUGAACGAACACUCCCGGGGGUCCCUUCCGGGGGAAAGCUGUUUCAGCCACAAAGCAAUCUCAUUCCACUGUUUUCAGCCUCAAAAUAAAAGGAAACUUAUAUU
rnacentral:lncRNA from 1 species